GUUCCCGGUUUUAAGAUAAUCCUGUUUAGGGCGUUCCCAGUUUAGGUUCCAGGUUUAAGGUUUAAGAUUAUUCCUGCUGGGAAUAGGGCGUAUCCUGCUGCCUGAGUUCCCCUUGAGUUCUCACGGGAUUCAGACAGUAUUUUGGGAGAUAGAAGCCCAGUGGAGGUGAAUUUGGGCAGAGAACGUGGAUUUGGGCAGAGAACGUGGAUUUGGGAAGAGAACGUGGAUUUCCCCAGAACGUGAUUGUAG
rnacentral:lncRNA from 1 species